CAGGCAUCCUCCCUGCGACACUUCAGUGAAGACCUUGGAGAGGUGAAGUCCCUUAGUCUUGGUAUGAAGGAAAAUGUGUUUAUUUUCUUUUCACUCCUAUUUGGCAGGUUACAGAAUUCUAAGUUUAAUUCUAUCUUCAGUAUUUGCAGAUUAUUCUGUGCUUUGUCACCAUUUUAGAAAUUCUAUCACCUGGUCUUUUUUUUUUUUUUAAUUCCCUCUCCUCGUCUGUUACUCCUUGUGUUGGAUAACAAACCCCAUCAUCUUGCAAGAAGCCACAGAGAAUGAAAAAAAACGAGGUACUGGAAAACAUGAAGAGGAGUCGAUGCCAAAGGUGAGGCUUGAACAGAAGAGCAGAAGUGAACAGGAUGGAGAGAGCACAGUGGAGGUGGCAGAGAGGGAACAACUAAUGCAGAAACAGGGGAGACCAUGGUUCACGUGUGAGCAUGCUCAGUGGUGUCCGACACUUUGCAACCCAUGGAUUGUGGCCCACCUGGCUUCUCUGUCCAUGGGGUUUCUCCAGGCAAGAAUGCUGGAGGGGGUUACAAUUUCCUCCUCAAGGGAAUCUUCCUAAUCCAGGGAUCAAACCUGUGUCUGUCUCCUGUGUCUCCUGAAUUGGCAGGAGGACUCUGUACCACCGAGGCACCUGGGAAGCCCAUGGCUCAGUUUAGGAAUGUGAAACUAGUUUACUGUGAUUAGAGUAUAGCAAUGAAGAAAUUGGUUUUAGGUGCUCCUGAAGAAAGACGCUGGAGCAGCCGUGAAGAGAUACCCCACGCCCAAGGUAAGAGAAACCCAAGUAAGAUGGUAGGUGUUGCGAGAGGGCAUCAGAGGGCAGACACGCUGAAACCAUACUCACAGAAAACUGGUCAAUCUAAUCACACUAGGACCACAGCCUGUCUAACUCAAUGAAACUAAGCCAUGCCAUGUGGGGCCACCCAAGACAGGCGGGCAUGGUGUAGAGGUCUGACAGAAUGUGGUCCACUGGAGAAGGGAAUGGCAAACCACUUCAGUAUUCUUGCCUUGAGAACCCCAUGAACAGUAUGAAAAGGCAAAAUGAUAGGAUACUGAAAGAGGAACUCCCCAGUGUUGGUUACUACGAGUGAAAUGACACAGAACAUACGAGACAUACGAGACAGACACAAGAGACAUACACUCUGGCCAGAGGGACAAGAACUGUCUGCGCCAGUGAGCUCGCGGUUUAUUUAUAUAUAUCCCCUCUGGGCAGAAUUCCAGACUGUAUGACCAAACUUGUUCAGUACAGCGCAUGUGCACAAAUGUUAUCGUACAGCAAAAGGGAGUGAAAUUCCGGCCUACUGCAGAGUCUGUCCAGAGCCCUUAUCACAAGAAGGGAAUGUUCCCUUAUUUGCAGGGGACCAUUAAUCUCAAGGCUGUGUCCAUCUCCUUGGCAGAACAUCCUGUUUGCAAGCAGCACAUCUCCACUUUCCCUAUUAUGGCUGCAUUAACCCUUCACCCAG
ensembl:lncRNA